rnacentral:lncRNA from 1 species
AUUUUGAUCCACACCUCAAGCUCUCUCCCCACAACGCAUGCAUGUCUAAUCCAUCCAGCAAGAUUCACUCCAGGAAGACGAAGCUGAAUGAAUGAGAGUGAUUCAUUUCAUCGUAAUGCAUUCUUUUCUUUUCCUUUUUUUUUUGUUGUUGAAGGCUAAUACACCUUGCAAGAUUAAUUAGAACAACUUUUGGCGAUACAAGUCGAGGCGCAUGCAUCGUCGAUUGGAGAGGUGGAUUUCAUCAUGGAAGAAUCCCUUUGCGUUGCAAAGGUACUAAUAGAAUCAGCAUUGGAAGGCAAAAUUUUUUUGGCUGGUUGGAGAUCAGUCAUUAGUUCAAGAACUGAACAAGAUCCCGGUAAGGCAGGUUAGUAGGACCCCAGUGUUUAGUGGUUCAUCCUGUAGACUUUUGAUCAAGAAUGAUGCUUGUCAUGACCUUUUACUUAAAAACUUUCCUUUGGAAUGAUGCUUGUUAUUGCUUUUGGAUACAUCUCCUUUCCCUUUUUCUUUUCACUGCUGUAGUUCUACUAGUAGUACUGGUAUUUUUCUUUUCACCUUUUCACCAUUGCACUUGUGCUUCCUGACAGCACGGUUAAAACCUGCAAAAUUUUAGCAAUUCGUCUCACUCGAACUGUACUGCAUGUACCUGUCUUCCAGCCUCUUCUUUUUGGUGUCACUUCCACAUUGGCAAUAGCCUGCUUUUGGUCAAUUUUGUCUGUCUUUGAGCAAGUGGAGCUAGAGUAGAGUGACCACCACCACCAUCACUGGCUGUAACAUUUCAAACCCUAGCUUGGGCCCUUUGGAUGCGCUAGGAAUGUUGUUUUUUUCCUUUCCUCUUUCCUGUUGCGGAUGCAGUAGCCGUAGUGUAUGUUCAUGCAGAGAAGAAAGUUGGGGUGAGAGGAGUAUGGCAGGACGCCAUAUGGCCUUCUGUCUGUCUGUCCCUAUUGCUACUUUGUUUUGUCUGUGGAAUGCAGGUUCAGUCCCCCUAGAGGCUUCACUCUUUGUGUUGUGUGCUGUUCUCCUCUGAAACUGCCGCACUGUAUAUCUCUUCCUGAAGUAAAAUUUUCAGCAGUAUACGGCUGAAAUCAGAGGUAAUUUCUCUUUUGUAUUUCAGCUCGCAUGGAAGAUGAGAGUUAACAUUUUUCAUUCUCUCCACUUUUAGAGCUAUACUACGGCCUGUUUGGAUACAGUGACUUUUUUUUUUAGUUUCUUUGUCACAUCGGAUAUUUGGACGUUAAUUAGGAGUAUUAAAUAUAAACUGAUAACAAAACUAAUGGCAUAAAUAAGUGCUAUUUCAUUAGACGAAUUUUUAGGCCUAAUUAAUCUACGAUUAGCAAAUGUUUACUGUAGCAUCACAUUCGCUAAUCAUGGAUUAAUUAGGCUCAAUAGAUUCGUCUCGCGAAAUAGUCCAGAGUAUGAGGUGGGUUUUAUUAAUAGUCUAUAUUUAAUAUUUCUUAUUAAUAUCCAAACAUUCGAUAUGACAGGGACUUAAAAAAAUUUUGGUGGAACCAAACAGCCCCUAGGUUGGCUUGUAACAUAGCCCCUCUGUCCCUAAAUAAAUCAAAUAUUUCACACUUCGUUUUAUUCAAAAAAUUUUAUUAUUAAUAUUUUUGUUUUUAUUAGAUGAUAAUUAUGAAUAGUAUUUUACGUGUGAAUAUUUUUUUAAUUUCUUAAAAAUUUUUCAAAUAAGACAGGUGGUCAAACGUUGGACAUACCUGGUCAAAAGAUUGCCUUAUUUUGGACAGAGGGAGUACCUGUUGUUUGUCUGGCGUUAAAUUGUGUGUCAUCAGUAAGUUCCGGUCAAAUGCAUGCCAAGCAUCAUAUUUGCAAAUGAAAAAUAAUAUGUGAACAAGAAAUUAAAAAAAUAUUCACACGUAAAAUACUAUUCAUAAUUAUAUAUAUGUCAUUACCGACGUUAGCAAUCUAAGAGAUUUUGCUGAAAAAUAAACAAGGUGAAAAUUAACUUGAAAUUUAAGGUUAAUAAUUAAAAUUUUGGUUCGUAAGCAUACAUACGCAAAAAAUAAAAAAUGAGGCUGUUUGGUUGUGGCUGAACGACGGGCCACUGAUUUUGUCGGGUAUCAAUAUUGGAUUUCUAGUUUGGAGUUAAUGAGUAGGAUGGUUUUUCUGGUCAAAAGUGUUGAAUUAGGUGUCAAUGUUGAGUGGUCUACAUCAAUAACUAGGUUAUUGGUAUCUCCUUAAAAGUUUCUUGGAUGGUUUCACCUAUACAUAAAAAAUGUCUUCAUCAAAGCUUUUAUCACUUAACCUUUCGGAGUUAUAAAAUGUCUCAAAAAUAAACUCACUUAACGGUCCAAACAUGUAACUGUUGUGUGCUUGUUCAGAGAAACCUGUAUUGCAUGCAGGUCUGGUGUACCAUCGAAAAUUUUGGUAUGCCAAAUUGUCAAAGUCAGCAUGCUUAGAGCUACUUUGGAACAAUGGAAUUUUGUAGGGUAUGAAUUCUUUGGAAAAAAUUUCUAUAGGCUUCUUUGGAUCAAAGAAAUGAACACUGUAGAAUUCCUAUCGAAUGAUUAAAAAGUAGGAAUUAUGGAAAUCUACUGUGAGCUUAAGCCUAUUGGAAAAUUAUGUGUCACCCUCUCAAUUUCUGUAUGAUUUUCCUAUAAAGCAACCAAACAAGAUGAUUGAGUAAUUUAUAUUUUUAGUAUUACAUAGGAUCAAGUUGAUAUGGCAUUAUAGACCGUAUGUUUCUACUAUUCAUGUGUUUUUUGAAUCCUGAGUUUUGAAGGAACCCUCAGUUUGUUGCAAAAGUAGUAGUAAUACUGUUAGAGACUACUCACUGUAUUCCUGGACUUGUUUAGGCGCAGAGUAGAAAUAGCUAGUAUAUUUUCGGUUGGAGGAAGUAUGUUGCCAAAUAAAACAGGGUUAUACUGCACUCAGUUUUUUGGGGAAAAACUUAUUAGGCUCCCUUUGAUUCAAAGGAAAUUUAUAGAAAUUUUAGAGGAUUUUAUUCCUAUAGAAAUAUUUUUCUACAAAGCCCUUUGAAUCAAAGAAAUGAAUCCUUUGAAAUUCUGAAUGAGAACCUCGUGAAAAAAAAUCAUUUCGAGUCUCUCUCCUCAAAUUUAUAUGUUUUUCCUGUGGUAUAAUUAAACGGUCAUUCAUACGAUUUUCCUAUAUUUUGCAAUCAUUUGUUUCUCUUCUACAUUUCUGUUAGAAUACUGUGAUUUUUCUAUUUCUCUAUUUUUUUUUCAUUUCUAUUAUUCAAAGGGGCUCUUAAUCUUAGCCUAAUAGUGUAAUUUUGUAAUGGUAAACUAUAUAAUAUUAUGCAGAACAUGAUAUAAAACAAAAUUAAAUACUUAAUUGUUGAAUUUUAAAAAGUUUAGAUUCUCUUCUCAAGUUGCUGGUUGGUUGUGGAAUCAUUGAUGACAUAAAAGUAAUGGUAGAAAUUAAUAUAGGAAUGUUUAUUUUGUGGAACAAAGGUAGUAUAUUAUAAAAAAAGAAUUCGUAGAUUUAAAGUCAGAAAUUUAUUUAUUUUUAGAACAUAUAAGUAGUAGUACUUCGUCUAGUGUCGUAAUUUUUGUCUUUUUUGAUGAAAGUGCGGUCAAAUUUAAAACUUCAACUAUUAAUAAUUUUAAAAUAUUUAGAUUGAAAAUACUAAAAAAAACAAGUAUAUAUGAAUCAUAAAAAGUAAUUUAAUACUGCCUUCGUCUUUGAAAAUACUAAAAAAACAAGUAUAUAUGAAUCAUAAAAAGUAAUUUAAUACUGCCUUCGUCCCAUAAUAACUUUAUUUUUUGAUUUAUGUGACCAUUCGUCUUAUUUGAAAAUUUUGUAACACAUGAAGUACCAUUAGUAACAAUAAAAAUAUUAAUCGCAAAAAAAUUUCAAAUAAGACGUUCAGUUAAAAUAAUGUAUGUAAAAACUAAAAAUGAACUUAAUAUGGGACGGAGAUAUUAGAAGUAAACAUUUCUUUACUGUCUUAUAUAUACAUUUAUAUGAACGGAAGUUUAGUUAAGGAGAGAUUUAAAAGAUCUUAUAAUCGUCCAAAACGAUAAAAAAAAUCAAGUCCUGAGAGUAAUAUGGUCAACAAACUUUGGUGUACCAAAAUACCUAUUUAGUAUUUUUAGGAUUUAAAUUUUAUGCCAGAAUAUAAAUAUUAUUCAUGGAUUCUAAUGAUUUUAAUCAUUUUAAUGAUUAUGGAGCUGAUCAAAUAUUUUAAAAAGUUUGUAAUGAAUUUCAAAUAUAAAAUUUGACUGUUGAAGUGAUUAAAAGAUAAUUUUUUACAGUAAAAAGUACUUGAAAUCUUACUCUUCCGUCAUAAAAUGACCUAAUUUUUCACUCUUCCCACGUAGACCAAUAUAACACCUAACGCUUUAUCAAAUUUUGGUAUAAUUAUUCUCUAUUUUAUCCAUUCCUAAUUCUUAAUGUAUUUAUUUCUUACUUGGCAAAUUCCAAUGUAAUAAUUACUUAAAAUAAACUUAUUUAAAAUAAAAUAAAAUAGCUGAAAUUAAACUUAUUUUGAGAGUGAGGUACUACUAAGGUUCUAUUAAGUUCCCAGAACAAAAUUUUUCACGCUGUCCCAUCAAAUAUUUAGACAUAAACUGAUUACAAUAGAUUACAUGUAAAUUUCGAGACAAAUCUUCUAAAUCUAAUUGCACUACGAUUUGACAAUGUAUUGGUAUAGUAAAUAUUUGUUAAUGACUGAUUAAUUAGUUUAAUAAAUUUGUCUCGUAGUUUUGUGGUUGAAUAUGUAAUUUAUUUUUUUAUUAGAGUACGUUUAAUACUUAAGUGUGUAUAUGACAAUCAAACCUAAACUUUUUUUCGACAAACCAGGGCCUAAAUAGUAUUGCCAAAUUAUCAUCUCAAAAUUCUGAAAAUGGUCAUGUUUAGUUCUCAAAAAUUUUUAUCCUAAAAUUAUCCCAUCGAAUUUUUUAACACUUAAAUAGAGUAUUAAACAUAUAUAAAAUGAAAAACUAAUUAUACAGUUAUACGAGAAAUUGUGUAAUUAGUGAUAAGUGUUGUAGUAACCAACAUGCACUAUUAGGCCUCUUUGAUUAGAAAUUUUAGAGGAUUUUAUUUCUAUAGAAAUUUUGUGCAAAUUCCUUUAAAUCAACGGAAUAAAACAUAUGAAAUCCUAUAAAAUUUCUAUCGAAUGCCUCUUCAUAUACAAGUUUUAGAGGAAAUUUAAUAAUAGGUAGAAACUGAAGGAAAAAAUCUUUUGAGUCUUAUCUCUCAAAUUUCUAUGUUUUUCGUAUGGUCCAAUGAAACGGCCAUUUCUAUAAUUUUUCUGUGUUUUGCAAUACUCUGUUUUACACUUACAUUUCUAUCAUCCUAUUCAUCCUUUUUUAUUCCUAUGAUUCAAAAGGGCCCUUGACGGAUUAAUUAGACUCAAAAGAUUCGUCUUGCGUUUUGUAGCGUAAAAUUUAUUUUUUUAUUAGUGUCUAAAAAAAUUUAUUUUCCCUGACUAAACAUCCCCAAUGUGUUCAAAAAAAACCGAAAAGGCUACGGUUAGUAGCCGAGAGAGGAGAUUUUCGAGAACAAAUUCAAUAGUACAGCUACCUCCAAUCUAAUAACCCAUUCAUAUAACAAUAUAUAUAUAUAUUUUGUCUUGAAGCCCGUGUAUAGCUACCUACCCUAAACCCUAUUUUAAAGAGAUAAGAGGGUAGAGAGAAGAGAGUUGAACUACUAAUUUAUAGCCUGCUAUUUUAAGCAGGUUUUAAGAUAAAAUAUAUAUAUAUAAUAUGUAUUGAUGUUUGCAGCUAACUAUUGUAUACAUUUGGCUAUUAAAUUGGAUAUAGAUAAAUUAAAGCUAGUUGUUGGCUAUAUUAUUGAACUUGCUCUUAGGAUUCCACCUCUAUUUUCUCUCUUAUUUAUUUAAAAUAUGCAUGUAGUUGGUUUAUAGGUGCACACGCUACUAGGAGUAUCAUCAUCAUUAUUUACCGAAGCCUGCAGAUGCUAGAUGCACAUAGCUGGCCAGAAAGUAGGGAGUAUCUCAAAAACUUUGGAGGUGGUGGUGGUAGCUGCAAAAGAUGCUCACCAUCUGCUGCUGCCUCUCUGUUCCUCUUCUUCUCCUUCUCCACGUAGGACUAGAGUAGUACAGUCCUGGAAAAGGUUUUGUUGUUCUUGCAUGAUCUAUCGGUCUACCACCAACUGUAGCAUCUCCCUAGCAGUACUUGAUGAGAGAAAAAUGGAAGAGAAGACACCACCGUUGGUUUUGCAUGGAUUGCUGGGCUGGUUAGCUUUGGAACUUGUUCAGGCUUUGCAACUCUUUUGAUGUGCCAUGGCCCAACCACCCAAGCACCUCCUUUCUUGGUCAAAGGAAUCAAUCUCUCUCUCUUUCUCUCUUGCUCUGUCCAUCUGUCUCUGUGUUGUGUCUCGCUCGGUUUCUUGUUGCCGUGUGUCGAUCAGAAACGCUGGAAGUGUCAGGCGUAGUUAUGGCUGGGAUGUGUCCCACAGAUUUUGUGUUCAUUCUUUCCUGUUAAAAUAAUGUAUGGUUCGAUUUGAAAUCUUGAUCCCAAAUCUUCUUCGACGUGCAGGGCAGCACUGUGGGAGCAUGCGCGAGCCGUGAGCGUUUUGAAUGUCUGAAGAGUACUUUCUCAGUAAAAAAACCAAAUUUCUCGGUUUCCGUUUGACUAUUUACCUUAUUUAAAUUUUUUUUAAAAAAUAGUCACGCGUAAAGUAUUAUUCAUAUUUUAUCAUUUAAUAAAAAUAAAAUUAUUAAUCGUAAAUUUUUUAAUUAAGAUGAAGAGUCAAAUUUUUAUCAAAAAACUGACAAGUUGAUUUGUUUUGAGACGGAGGAAGUAUUAUAUAUUCAUAUUUUGAAAGCAAUUGCAAGGCUAAUCCUGUGGGAAGCUGUCAUGAUCUUUUCUUAAUUUUGAUACGAUCCAACGUGACGGCGUGGAUGACAGAAGAGAAACGUUUCAUCGUAUAAAAAUUGGAUGUACAGUAGUGCUGAAUUUGAGAUGUGCUUGUCUUUAACUAUACGAGGGAAUGUGAUUGUUAUUUUAGCAAUCAUGCCUGGUAUUUCAUGCUAUUUCAUGAUUCUUUCUCCUUUACGGUUUGAUACAGGAGUUUUUGGUUCAUCCUCAA